UUUGACGUAGGCCGUAUUUUUAACGUGGAUAUUUCUAUGUGAAGCAUUACUGUUUAUGAAUAUAAUGUGCUGCUUUUUAGCCGAAAAAGAAGUUGUUCAGUUUUUAGGAUCUGAUGUAUCAGCCUACUAGCCAAUAAGUAGCAAGGGUUCGUUUCCCACGGUUAAAGCGACUGAGGUGUGAAGAUGACUGCCCACCUCCGUUCAGUGGCAAGUGUUCGUAAGCACGGCUUUUUGCGUUCAUUAAAUGAACUGGGAGUCACAAUUUGUUAGUGGACAAAAUGUUUGUAGACAUGAAUUGUUCGCUUCAUGUAAGUUUGUGAAGAGAAGUUUGCCUGUAAAAGAUAAUGAAGUUCCAGGCACAUAAAUGCAUGCCACAGAUAUCUGAUAGAGACAUUUUUUUCAAGCAUGUAGUGUACCAGUGACUUAGAAAUUCAAAGUGAAUUUUAAGAUUUUGACACAAUUUGCAUGUGA